rnacentral:rRNA from 1 species
UCGUGCCUAUACAUGCAAGUCGAGCGGACAGAUGGGAGCUUGCUCCCUGAUGUUAGCGGCGGACGGGUGAGUAACACGUGGGUAACCUGCCUGUAAGACUGGGAUAACUCCGGGAAACCGGGGCUAAUACCGGAUGCUUGUUUGAACCGCAUGGUUCAAACAUAAAAGGUGGCUUCGGCUACCACUUACAGAUGGACCCGCGGCGCAUUAGCUAGUUGGUGAGGUAACGGCUCACCAAGGCAACGAUGCGUAGCCGACCUGAGAGGGUGAUCGGCCACACUGGGACUGAGACACGGCCCAGACUCCUACGGGAGGCAGCAGUAGGGAAUCUUCCGCAAUGGACGAAAGUCUGACGGAGCAACGCCGGUGAGUGAUGAAGGUUUUCGGAUCGUAAAGCUCUGUUGUUAGGGAGAACAAGUACCGUUCGAAUAGGGCGGUACCUUGACGGUACCUAACCAGAAAGCCACGGCUAACUACGUGCCAGCAGCCGCGGUAAUACGUAGGUGGCAAGCGUUGUCCGGAAUUAUUGGGCGUAAAGGGCUCGCAGGCGGUUUCUUAAGUCUGAUGUGAAAGCCCCCGGCUCAACCGGGGAGGGUCAUUGGAAACUGGGGAACUUGAGUGCAGAAGAGGAGAGUGGAAUUCCACGUAGCGGUGAAAUGCGUAGAGAUGUGGAGGAACACCAGUGGCGAAGGCGACUCUCUGGUCUGUAACUGACGCUGAGGAGCGAAAGCGUGGGGAGCGAACAGGAUUAGAUACCCUGGUAGUCCACGCCGUAAACGAUGAGUGCUAAGUGUUAGGGGGUUUCCGCCCCUUAGUGCUGCAGCUAACGCAUUAAGCACUCCGCCUGGGGAGUACGGUCGCAAGACUGAAACUCAAAGGAAUUGACGGGGGCCCGCACAAGCGGUGGAGCAUGUGGUUUAAUUCGAAGAACGCGAAGAACCUUACCAGGUCUUGACAUCCUCUGACAAUCCUAGAGAUAGGACGUCCCCUUCGGGGGCAGAGUGACAGGUGGUGCAUGGUUGUCGUCAGCUCGUGUCGUGAGAUGUUGGGUUAAGUCCCGCAACGAGCGCAACCCUUGAUCUUAGUUGCCAGCAUUCAGUUGGGCACUCUAAGGUGACUGCCGGUGACAAACCGGAGGAAGGUGGGGAUGACGUCAUCAUGCCCCUUAUGACCUGGGCUACACACGUGCUACAAUGGACAGAACAAAGGGCAGCGAAACCGCGAGGUUAAGCCAAUCCCACAAAUCUGUUCUCAGUUCGGAUCGCAGUCUGCAACUCGACUGCGUGAAGCUGGAAUCGCUAGUAAUCGCGGAUCAGCAUGCCGCGGUGAAUACGUUCCCGGGCCUUGUACACACCGCCCGUCACACCACGAGAGUUUGUAACACCCGAAGUCGGUGAGGUAACCUUUUAGGAGCCAGCCGCCGAAUGACG